rnacentral:rRNA from 1 species
AGCGAACGCUGGCGGCAGGCUUAACACAUGCAAGUCGAACGGGCUUCUUCGGCAGUCAGUGGCAGACGGGUGAGUAACACGUGGGAACGUGCCCUUCGGUUCGGAAUAACUCAGGGAAACUUGAGCUAAUACCGGAUACGCCCUUUUGGUGAAAGGUUUACUGCCGAAGGAUCGGCCCGCGUCUGAUUAGCUUGUUGGUGGGGUAACGGCCUACCAAGGCGACGAUUAGUAGCUGGUCUGAGAGGAUGAUCAGCCACACUGCGACUGAGACGCGGCCCAGUGACCUACGGGAGGAAGCGGUGGGGGAUAGUGGACAAUGGGCCGAAGCGUAAGCCAGCCAUGCCGCGUGAGUGAUGGAGGCCUUAGUGUUGUAAAGCUCUUUUGUCCGGGGCGAUAAUGACGGUACCGGAAGAAUAAGCCCCGGCUAACUUCGUG